rnacentral:misc_RNA from 1 species
GCAAACUUGGUCAUUUAGAGGAAGUAAAAGUCGUAACAAGGUUUCCGUAGGUGAACCUGCGGAAGGAUCAUUAUUGAAUAAACUUGGUUGGGUUGUUGCUGGCUCCUAGGAGCAUGUGCACGCCUAAUUCAAAUUUUUAACCACCUGUGCACCUUGUGUAGACUUGAACAGCUCUCGAGACAAUGUAUCGGUUUGAGGAUUGCUGAUGCAAAAGCACAGCUUUCCUUGUGUUUCAAGUCUAUGUCUUAUUACACUCCAUAAGAAUGUAUUAGAAUGUGAUAAAUGGGCCAUCGUGCCUUUAAACACAAAUACAACUUUCAACAACGGAUCUCUUGGCUCUCGCAUCGAUGAAGAACGCAGC